CUCCUGUGCACCCCUCUCCCUGCCCCCUUCGGCGGGCUUCCGCUCCAACCGUUCCCCGCGGAGUAACACUGGAACCUGCCCCCCGGGAGCUGCACUUCCGGUCACUGGCGCCGCCUUCCCCUGAACUUCCGAAUGCAGCUGUCCUGUAAGAAGUGAAAGGUCUUAAUCUGAUCCAGGAGCUGAGGCCAGCGAUUUAAAGUUUCCAUCUGUCUCUGCCUGUAACACAUGCAGGGAGGAAAAGAGGGCUUGCUUUCAAGAAGCAGCAAGUGCCUGGAGGAUGCAAGACGGGUGCAGAGAAAAAUCUCAGGUCUGGGGCAGUUUUGCCAGCAGGAGGAAGAUUCUGUUGUCCUGCUUGGAGUUUCUGUACUGGCAUCUCGUGUUCCUUAGAUUUCCUACAGCUCGGAUGUUUCACUGGCUCCAACAUCAUUUUACAAUGCAAACCUGACAGCCUGUUUUUCUCUUCCAACUGUGCAGGGUGCAAUGCAUCUUCACAAUGGACCCAAUCCAGCAGGUGCUGAUUCAGACAAAAGCCCCAUGUAAAACAAGAGGGGUGGCUUAAUGAUCUGAGAACAGAACUGGGAGCCAGGAGUCACUGAUUCCAAAUCCCAGCUGUUCCACUGACUCACUUUUCAGCCUUGAGCAAGUCCCUUCACCUCCAUUUACUGUCUGUAAAAUGAGGAUAGUACUUUUCUGCAUCACGGGGAGAUUGUGAAGAUUACUUAGUAAUGGAUGUAAAACUCCACAUAAGAGUUAAGCAUUAUUUUUAUUGGUCCAAACCUGGUUUUCUUAUUCAGCCUUUGUGUGGGUAAAUCUUCCAUUGAUUUCAGUGGGAGUUUUAUGAAGAACUGAGUAAGCAGGGCAAGAUCCCACCCAGACACGAUAGGAAUGCUGAACUCUAAUAUUGCACCCGUCAUCUGCAAAGCACUGAGAUUCUGUUCUGAGAAAGACAGAUAUUAAAAAUUACACAGGGCGAUAUUGUGACAUACACUUUCAAGCAAAAUUCUCAGUUGAAUCAAUAGGGAGUUCUAGUUAAAAAACUCAAUACCAUGAUAUAAUAUCUAACGCUUAUAUAGUACUUUUCAUCAGUUGAUCUCAAGGCAUGUAAGCAGUAAGGCGGUAAGUAUCAUCCCCGCAACUGAGGCUCAGAGAGGUCAUCACAUGGCUAUGUCACCUAGCAUGCUGAUGUCAGCUCUGGGAUUAGAACUCAGACCUGCUGAAGCCCAGCCCAGUGCACUAGGCAACACUACCUCCCCAAUGAAGAUGGGCUAUGGAGUAGUCCAGAGAAAAGUACAUCAUUGUUACAGGAUUUUCUUUUUUUUUCCAAAAUAAAUAAGACUGACUGUCUGUGAAAAAUUAAACAAGAAUUUCUGAUAAAUGUAACUUAUUAAAAAUACAAUGUGUUGACCUGAGUGUAAUUAGCUUCCAUCCAACACUCCCAGGAGAGCUAGAGAUCUUUCUGCUAAGAUCAUGAUCAGCCAUGAACUAGUUAACAAUGUUGACACCUAAACUGUCAUAAUUAGACUUCAGCAUUAUCACUGCACUGUGAAACAUGGGGGCAGUAGUUCACAUGUCCCUUAGAGCCACCGGGCUCAAUUCUGCUCUCAGUUACAACAGGGUCAACCCGGAGCAGCUCCACUGGUGCCAUCUCCAUUGAAGUCACUGAUAUCUCUUUAGCUCAGUAUAACCUCAAGUUGUUUUGCGUGUCUGUAGAUCCAGCACCUUUCUUUCCGUUACCUAGGUGCUCUGUGUCUGUAUCAGUGUAAGUAGUUAAUAGAUGGCACUGGGUUUUGUGGAACCAAUAAAGCUGAUGUACACUGCAAA